ACGCAAAUUGCACGCAAAAAGAUUUGUUACAAUUAUUUCGCAGCGAGCACUCAUAGCAAGAUGUUUGAAAAAUUGAUAUUUGUAAUACUUUUAUUUUUCUUGGUCAGCAGCAUGACAAAAGCAGAAAACGAUACAAAUACAUUUGGAUUUCAAAGAAUCAUGGAUACGACGAAAAAUUAUCUGUCCAAAGUUUUCUCAUUUAACGUGCGCUGAAAAAUGCUAUAACGGAUCAAAAUAAAUGAAAAAUAAAAAUAUGGAUUUUUUUCACGUAAUAUUUAUAAGAAUAAAUAUGUAAUUCUCAUCAAAAUA